AUCUUCUCUUUUCAAAUUACUUUCUCUCCCAUCUUCAAUAUGUUCAACCGUAUUAUACGCCCAUUAUCUAUCAUCAUUAUUAGCACGAUUCCAUCUUCCUUAAUCGUUACCCACACAGUAUAGGUAACGAAUUUUGAUAAUUUAUUAGAAUAUUUUUACUUUCUUUGUUGUAUUUCUCUAUAUUUAUUCUUAUAUUUUCAUCGUUUUCUUUGUUUCUUUUCAUUCCUUUUUUUUUUUUUUUUGUUUUCAGUCAUUGUUAGAGUUUUUAAAACAAGAUCUACUUCUCCAUUUUAAUGGCGGAAAGAGAUACUCCAAGCGAGAAUACUCGAGGUAGUCCCGAUGUUUAUGAUGGUCCUAGUUUCUCUUUGGGAUUUUCACAACAACAACUUGCAAUUGCGGGAGAAUGCUGCUAAAAUUGCUGCCGAGAGAAGAAGCAAGAAGAUUCAUGACCCAUCAAGGACGCGUCAACUUCAACCAACUGAAGUUGCAAAACCGAGCAAGCGAAAAGAUGAUGUACCAAAAAAGGUUCUAAAGUUGCUCAACAAAAUAAGAGAAAAGUAACCAAGCCUUUUUCCGAUGUUAAGGGUAAAAAGGUUGUAAAAGAUGUAGAUCUGGAAGAGGAUGAACAGGAAACUAAAUUCUAUGUUAAGAGUCAUCUGAAGAGGCUCCAUCGAUGACACGGUACACGAAUAUUGAGGUGUUCAAAGAUCUCAAGAGUAAGCUAACUGUUCCACAGUUAGAGAUCUUUUCCAAGACAAUAUUUGGGAAAUUCCUCGGAAUGCAGCACCUGGAGGUUCAAGCACAAAUUUUUAGGUGCUUCAUGGUAAGAGAGCUCAAGGAGAGCACUUCUGAUUGCUUUACAAUUGAUAUAAAUGGUACCGUAUUGCGAUUUACCAUGAGAGAAUUUGCCCUUAUGAGCGGGCUAAAUUGUGUAGCCGAUGAAGGUCAAUUUACAUACGAUGAGGAAAAACCGAAUAGGAUUAUGGUUGAUUAUUUUGGUGGAACUAGGAGUAAAGUAAAAAGAUUGGAGUUGAUUGAUUGCUUUAAGAAUAAGUGUUGGGGAGAUAAUGAUGAGGACGCUGUUAAGUUUGCAAUUCUGUUUUUUAUAAAUACAUAUAUCUUUUGC